rnacentral:lncRNA from 1 species
AAAAAAUAUAUUGCUAACAUCAAUACAUGACUACCACUUAGCCUUACACGUGGGGUAGCAUGUCAUCAUCAUCCUAUGUUCAAAUUAAUUCUUUAUUAAUUUUAACCCUAAUCAGCUAAAACCUAAAAAUAAAAAAUAUUAGAUUAUGAUCCUCAAUGAAAGCACAUUAGCUUUUAUGAUCUUUCAUUUAUGUUUUUGUUGUUAAUUUUGUAUUGAAUAAAUUAAAGGAAAGUCAAAUAAAUUGUUCGAAGAAAUGUUAAAGAACAAAUAGGAAUGUGAAAAUCAUUGUUCUAACUCUGUAAGAAUAUAAAUAUUAUUGUCAUUGAUUCAUAUGAUAAUGAGAAGAGAGCUUCAAAUUUUGAACCUUUUAGUGUUCAGUUUAUAAAAUAGUUGGUGUUCAGUUUAAAAACAGUGAUAGUGCUAGUGUUCGAUUUUAAGAAAUAGUUAGUAUUUAGUUUACGAAAUAGUUAGUUUUUGGUUUAAGAAAUAGUCAGUGUUUAGUUUACGAAAUAGUGACAGUACUAGUAUUUGGUUUAAAAAAUAAUCAGUGCUUAGUUUACAAAAUAAUGAUAGUACUAUUACUUGGUUUAAUAAAUAGUCUAUUUAGUUUACGAAAUAGUGAUAGUACUAGUGUUAAGUUUAAGAAAUAAUCACUGUUUAGUUUACAAGAUGUUCGGUUUAAGAAAUAGUCAGUGUUUAGUUUACGAAAUAGUAAUAGGACUAGUGUUCAGUUUAAGAAAUAAUUAGUGUUCAGUUUACGAAAUAGUCAGUGUUCAUUUUAAGAAGUAGUGAUAGUAUUAGUGUUACAUUUAAGAAAUAGUUAGUGUUUAGUUUAAGAAAUAUUAUUUAGUUUAAGAAAUAGUCAAUGGUCAGUUUAAGAAAUAGUGUUCGGUUUAAGAAGUAGUCAAUGUUCGGUUUAAAAAAUAGUGUUCAAAUUUAAGAAGUAGUCAAUGUCCUGUUUAAGAAAUAGUGACAGUAUAAGUGUUCAUAAAACUGAAUAAUAAAUUUUUUCUUUAUUUUUGAUCUUGUAAUAUUAUUACUUAGUUUAUUCUUAAAAACUUGAAAGAAUAGUCAAAUAAACAAGUAAUAAAAUAAAAAUAAAAAUAAAAAUAAAAAAUAAAUUAUUUAUGGAGUGAGGUGAAAGGAGAGAGAAGAGUGGGGAGAGGUGAAAAAAAAGUUGAUGUGGAUGGGUGAGAUGAAACAAGAGAGAAAAUUUGAUGGGAAUAUGGGAAAGAGGGAGAGAGAGAAAGAGGUUGAACGGUUG